rnacentral:rRNA from 1 species
ACGUAUUGAUCCUGGCUCAGGAUGAACGCUGGCGGUAUGCUUAACACAUGCAAGUCGAACGGAAUCCUUAGGGAUUUAGUGGCGGACGGCUAGUAACGCGUGAGAAUCUGGCUUCAGGUCGGUGGACAACAGUUGGAAACGACUGCUAAUACCGGAUAUGCCGAGAGGUGAUUGAUUAAUUGCCUGGAGAUGAGCUCGCGUCUGAUUAGCUAGUUGGUGGGGUAAGAGCCUACCAAGGCGACGAUCAGUAGCUGGUCUGAGAGGAUGAUCAGCCACACUGGGACUGAGACACGGCCCAGACUCCUACGGGAGGCAGCAGUGGGGAAUUUUCCGCAAUGGGCGAAAGCCUGACGGAGCAAUACCGCGUGAGGGAGGAAGGCUCUUGGGUCGUAAACCUCUGAUCUCAGGGAAGAAAUGAAUGACGGUACCUGAGGAAUAAGCAUCGGCUAACUCCGUGCCAGCAGCCGCGGUAAUACGGAGGAUGCAAGCGUUAUCCGGAAUGAUUGGGCGUAAAGCGUCCGCAGGUGGCCAUGUAAGUCUGCUGUUAAAGAGUCAUGCUCAACAUGAUAAAAGCAGUGGAAUCUACAGAGCUAGAGUACGUUCGGGGCAGAGGGAAUUCCUGGUGUAGCGGUGAAAUGCGUAGAUAUCAGGAAGAACACCGGUGGCGAACGCGCUCUGCUAGGCCGUAACUGACACUGAGGGACGAAAGCUAGGGGAGCGAAUGGGAUUAGAUACCCCAGUAGUCCUAGCCGUAAACGAUGGAUACUAGGCGUGGCUUGUAUCGACCCGAGCCGUGCCGUAGCUAACGCGUUAAGUAUCCCGCCUGGGGAGUACGCACGCAAGUGUGAAACUCAAAGGAAUUGACGGGGGCCCGCACAAGCGGUGGAGUAUGUGGUUUAAUUCGAUGCAACGCGAAGAACCUUACCAAGGCUUGACAUGUCGCGAAUCUUUCUGAAAGGAGAGAGUGCCUUCGGGAGCGCGAACACAGGUGGUGCAUGGCUGUCCUAGGCUCGUGUCGUGAGAUGUUGGGUUAAGUCCCGCAACGAGCGCAACCCUCGUUUUUAGUUGCCAGCAUUAAGUUGGGCACUCUAGAGAGACUGCCGGUGACAAACCGGAGGAAGGUGAGG